GACGAACGCUGGCGGCGUGCCUAAUACAUGCAAGUAGAACGCUGAAGGAGGAGCUUGCUUCUCUGGAUGAGUUGCGAACGGGUGAGUAACGCGUAGGUAACCUGCCUGGUAGCGGGGGAUAACUAUUGGAAACGAUAGCUAAUACCGCAUAAGAGUAGAUGUUGCAUGACAUUUGCUUAAAAGGUGCAAUUGCAUCACUACCAGAUGGACCUGCGUUGUAUUAGCUAGUUGGUGGGGUAACGGCUCACCAAGGCGACGAUACAUAGCCGACCUGAGAGGGUGAUCGGCCACAAUGGGAAUGAGACACGGCCCAGACUCCUACGGGAGGCAGCAGUAGGGAAUCUUCGGCAAUGGACGGAAGUCUGACCGAGCAACGCCGCGUGAGUGAAGAAGGUUUUCGGAUCGUAAAGCUCUGUUGUAAGAGAAGAACGAGUGUGAGAGUGGAAAGUUCACACUGUGACGGUAUCUUACCAGAAAGGGACGGCUAACUACGUG
rnacentral:rRNA from 1 species